rnacentral:tRNA from 1 species
GUGAGUGUAGCUCAGGUGGUUAGAGCACUAGUCUGUGGAACUAGGGGUCGGGGGUUCAAGUCCCCUCACUCACC